UGGGGAAUAUUGCACAAUGGGCGAAAGCCUGAUGCAGCAACGCCGCGUGAGUGAUGAAGGUCUUCGGAUUGUAAAGCUCUGUCUUUUGGGACGAUAAUGACGGUACCAAAGGAGGAAGCCACGGCUAACUACGUGCCAGCAGCCGCGGUAAUACGUAGGUGGCGAGCGUUGUCCGGAUUUACUGGGCGUAAAGGGUGCGUAGGCGGAUGUUUAAGUGAGAUGUGAAAUACCCGGGCUUAACUUGGGUGCUGCAUUUCAAACUGGAUAUCUAGAGUGCAGGAGAGGAGAAUGGAAUUCCUAGUGUAGCGGUGAAAUGCGUAGAGAUUAGGAAGAACACCAGUGGCGAAGGCGAUUCUCUGGACUGUAACUGACGCUGAGGCACGAAAGCGUGGGUAGCAACAGGAUUAGAU
rnacentral:rRNA from 1 species